GACGAACGCUGGCGGCGCGCUUCAUACAUGCAAGUCGAGCGGGGUCCAUCGGGCUUGCCCGAGAAGACCUAGCGGCGAACGGGUGCGUAACACGUGAGCAACCUGCCCCGAAGACCGGGAUAAGCCGGGGAAACUUGGUCUAAUACCGGAUGUCCUCACCGAGUCGCAUGGCUCGGUGAGGAAAUGUCUUUUCGCUUCGGGAUGGGCUCGCGGCCUAUCAGCUUGUUGGUGGGGAAUGGCCUACCAAGGCGACGACGGGUAGCUGGUCUGAGAGGAUGUCCAGCCACACUGGGACUGAGACACGGCCCAGACUCCUACGGGAGGCAGCAGUAGGGAAUCUUGCGCAA
rnacentral:rRNA from 1 species